rnacentral:rRNA from 1 species
UACGAAGGGGGCUAGCGUUGCUCGGAAUUACUGGGCGUAAAGGGAGCGUAGGCGGAUAGUUUAGUCAGAGGUGAAAGCCCAGGGCUCAACCUUGGAAUUGCCUUUGAUACUGGCUAUCUUGAGUACGGAAGAGGUAUGUGGAACUCCGAGUGUAGAGGUGAAAUUCGUAGAUAUUCGGAAGAACACCAGUGGCGAAGGCGACAUACUGGACCGUUACUGACGCUGAGGCUCGAAAGCGUGGGGAGCAAACAGG